CGGGACCGUGGGGCCCGAGAACCCUGGGUCAAGGAAACGCGAUAGAAAUGUUGCCCCCGGGGUCCUUUGCGAAGCAAGAAAUCCUGCAAUAAGUAAAACCUGGCGUCCAGCAGCGUGAGUGGUUCAUGUGGCCUGACUGAGGAUUGGCCAAUCAGCUUCCAAGUUUGAAAUUCCCCUAACUCCUUCAAUUUCGUCGGGGGCGCUGGAUCAGGGGGUAGACCUGAGAGCCUGGGCUCCUGCGUUCUUGCCGGCCAACCCCGCGAUAAGCCUCUUUCUCAUCUCAAAAGCCUGUGCUCUCUCUGGUCCUGGCUUUCAGGCAAGGCAGGCUGGGAGCCUUUGCUCCAUCACGGAAGGCGGUAAAUGCUCGGAUUCCAUCCUGGGUAUGUUAAAAACAAAAACAAAACAGACUUCCGGAUGAACAAAGACGAUGCUAUUGAUUCCGGUCUAAAGACACAGGUUGUACGCCUGUCGUUUCUUUGGUGCGUCUCAAAAAGACCGAGUGACCCAGAAGCACAUUUUCCUUGUAUCUCAUGGGCGCCGAAAGCUGAAAGGAGCUGAAGGAGAAUGUCACCAUUGUGUCGCGCUACAGAACGAGACGGAUGCGGCGGGCUCUGAUGGUUUUGGGCUCUUGGGAGAACCAGCCCAGGAGGCCGUGCCCGUGCUGCUGGCUCACACCCGUGGGGGAGCCCCUCUAUCCCGGCCACUCUGACGCCCGCGGCUGCAGAAACUCAUGGCUUGCUUGGUGGGAAUAACCGAUGCCCCUGUGGGGCUGGAAGCGUGGAAGAGAAAGAGGAGGCCAAAGGAGACGACAGAGCACUCCUGGUACUGGGGUACAGUCGAUGGGGAAAUGCCCCCUACGAGGGAGACAUCUGCCAGUCCGCUCCCCAGAAUCUCAGGACUAGAGGAAGAGAUGAUGCGAGAGGAAGAAGCAGAUGGCACAGGUGAGAAAGGAAAAUCUUCUUUUUCUGAAAAAUGCCAGGAGUUCCCUGGUAGCGCAGUGGGUUAAGGAUCUGGCGUUAUCACUGGAUCUGGCUCAGGUUGAUGCUGUGGCGCGGUUGGAUCUCUGGCCUGGCAACUGACACAUGCCCUGGGCAUGGCCACAAAAUAACUUCGAAAAAAAAAUUUUUUAAAUGAAAAACUUCAGAAAUUUGAGCAACUUCUACUUUUCAGCCAUAAAACUGGAAGGAGGUAUUUGCUGACUCCCAGGCAAAUUCUUCCAGCAUUUUAAACUAAAAAUUGGCACUAUCAGCAGGAGCUGGUCCUCGGGGAUCUCCAUCCGUCCACAUCUGCACCCUGAGGCUCCCUGUUGAGACUGGACAACUCCCCCCCCAACCCCCGAGCUG
rnacentral:lncRNA from 1 species